CAAAAACCAAGAUUGUGACAACCAAAAUGCCGGACUUGAGGGUUACGUCAGGGUUCCGUCUUCCAUACACCGGUGCGUGACCCAGACCUGACCUGUGCUGAUGUCAAUGGAUGCUCGCCAUAGAAAACACACACAGACGUGAGUUCAUCAUUGGAAACUCCAGCGUUGCUGCUUCGAGGUAAAAAUCUCUUCUGAUCCAGCCAGAAUAUGAAUGAGGUCAAAUGCAUAUGGUACGGAGACGGCAGCCAAACACGCAGAGCUAUAGUGUGUAAAAUCCCUGGCAGCGUUGCGUCCUGGAGGCAGCGCUCCCACACAACAGACGGGACUCCCACCACACAGCCUGCAGGGUGGAGCUGUCUCACUGAAACAAAAAAAAAACACUGCCAGCAACACGCAGAGAGUCCAAUCACUCUGUCACAGAGGGGCGAGAUGAUGCACAACGCUGCUGUUUUCCCAUUAUUUGUAAAAAAAAAAAUUAACGGCGGAAGUAGCCUGAAGGCUGAGGGAUGAGGCCUCGCUUCCAGAAGGGUGUCUGCUCACACUCGGAAAAAGAUAGAAAAUGUGGUGCAUUAUCAAGCCUGUAGGGAAAUCUACUUUACCCCUCUUCCUUCUCAUAAGGUUCUGGAUGAAUGCCUCAAUAAGUAUACGUGCAUUAUUCACAGAUAAUGAGGGGAAAGCCGCUCACUAGAAAUAAGCAGCACUGGGGUUCACUGGGUUUAUUGGUUUCCCAAAUUUGAUUGCUCCUAAACAGAAACCUCUAUAUGUGUGUAACUCGAUCACUACCUGCUCGUAAUGUUCAGCUAAUACGGAGCCUGAGGGCUCAUUCUCUGUAGGAAUUGAGUGAUUUAAGGAAAGGUGAUAAGAAGUAGUGUUGCUGCAUCACCUUGGGAUAAAAUUGGAGAUACAGGAGCCUUGACGGGUCCUUUAUUGUGCUCUGACCCAGCAGAAACAUUUUUUAUUAAAACUGCCACUUCCAGCAUAUUGUUUAAAGUGUGUGGUGUAGGGAAUAUAUUAAAGAGUAAAUUAUUCCUCUUUGUUGUAAGUAGUGCAACACGAGUGCUUCAAAUUUAUCAGUAGCAUUACAGGUGAUUUUAAAGGAAAGCAAG